UUUUGUCUGGUAAGUGGCAACCACAUUUCAUCAAAAGAGCUCAAAUCCUCUUUCUCGCCUGUUUAUCCCUGCACGCCAUUGACGAUCAACUCGAUGGAAAGGUCGCUUCCCUUCUCCUCUUUGAUCCGCCCCUUGCUAGAAAAGGUGGAAGAUGCGAUCAGGAGUGUGAUGGGGAAAUUUUCUUGGGCUUGGAAAAACUAGGCUAGUGACUGUUGUGUGCUUAUCAAACGCAUCAGAUUCUUUUCGGGUCAACACAUAUCGAACCAACCUGGGCGUCCAUCUCUUUGUUUUUUCCCUCGUUGGCGUGUUAAUUCUUCUGGUUUCGCUGGAGAUUCUUUGCUCUUCCUCCCGCUGCAUAUAUUUUUUCUAACUCAAUUUCUGUU
rnacentral:lncRNA from 1 species